rnacentral:misc_RNA from 1 species
GCAUAAACGGUAGUUUACUCAAGUUGUGUACUAAUCGGAAGUGUUGUGGCUAACAUGGAUUAUCAUCAAAUGCGAGUUUGGGAGAUCCGAAAGUGAAAUAAACAGUGAAAAACAGUAAAUAUUGUGAGAAAACGUGGAGGCAGAUACGUACAGUUGUAGAAGUGGGAUGUGGAUAAUGAAAGCACAAGAAAAGGGUGUGAGUGAUAACUUUGGUGGUAAAACAAAUGCCUGAUUGAGGAAUGGAGAUUGGAGAUCUUUUUCCUAAGAUAAAAAAGCAUUAAAGUCAAGUUAAACGUGCCUAGUGAGGAGC